AGUUAAAAGGCUAAGAAAAGCCUAAUGUCUUGAAAACAUUAAGAAAGAAGUUCAAUUCUUCUGUUAACUU
rnacentral:tRNA from 1 species